AAAUCCUGUCAUGGGCGCUUAAUGGAACCUUGCAGGGUCCCCGAUGAAAAUGGAUACCUGGUCAGAAUGAAGACAGCAAAUCGGAAAGCAAGCAGCUUGGGAGCACUGUCUUGUCUUUUAGACUCUCCAUGCCAGCUAGCAGUCUCCACAAGGAGAAACAUGACCCUUUCAGACCCACAUCUCAGGCUUAGAGGAUGGCUACUUCCAACAGCACUUCUUAUCAAAUUACACCUAAUAUUGUAUUGAUUUUCGGUAAUGAUCAGUGAAGAUACGCUAACAGAUCUUCUGCAUGGAAUACACUAAAAGGAUUCAGUGAUACACGUGCAAGAGAAAUGAAAUGUGGGAAUGUGCAAGAACUUAACAAACCACUCGUCAGAGUAUUGUCUACAUUUUUGGGCAAAAGUGCAGAAGAAAAAAACUGUACAAUCUGAAUGGGUCAAA